rfam:Treponema denticola ATCC 35405, complete genome.
CCCGCCACGGAUGGCGGGUGGUUUCAGCUUAAAGAGUUUGUGCUUGUCACAAACUCGAAGAUCAAAAAUAUAUAAGGAUGUAUAUUUUUGAUCGAGU